UUUCUGUCAAUCAUUGAUGUAACAUCAACUAUAAUGAGUGACACACCAUCAACAAUAACAAGUAGUGUACAACUCUCAACUGCUACAAGCUGUAAUUUAACAUGUACAGGAUCCAUCAUCAGUUCUGUUGCUAUUGCAGUAC